AGUCGGAACCGAAGUACCCGUAUGCGUCAUCGUGCCCGCAUACCGCAGCGGCGAAUUACACCCAGCCCUUCUCACCACUACCCUCUUCUUGCCCCCCUAAUGAUGCAUAUUGUGCCCCCGAGGGAUCUCGUUCUCUAAACGAUUCACAACCAUAAACAGAUCUGGUAUCCUUCCAACUAAGGAUAUGCGAAGGUACCGUAUGCUGGACGGGCGAUGUCCACUUCCUGAAAAACCCAGGUGGACCUGCCGCCUUUCUUCGACCACCACCUGCCUCUGCCAGCAACGGGUUCCUCGCAACAAGCCUCAACUCCUCCUCUCGGCACCGCUUUCCGUAAGAUAGUCUCAGACAAGCAAUAGCAGCAGCAGGCUGGUUGGCUGAUUCGAACGAUUUCAAAACGAGAAUGCGUAAGCCGUAAUUCCACGCGAUCGAUAAAGAAAACGAAGCUUUCGAUUCCAAUGGCGUUUUGCGGAAAGCGGCGACCGGAAGUAGCGUACGGAUGUAACGAAACGUGGACGAUGUCUCGCGUGACGAUUUAAGAAAUUCUGAUGAUUCAUUUUAUGGUCUUUUUUCUUGUAAAUUUUUCUUUCUUUUCAAAAUUUAAAAUUUUAUUAUUAAUUUUAUCAAAAUAAAAUUAUAAAGAAUUCUUUUAGUAAUUGAAUUGAUAAUGAAUCAUUUUGAAUAUAAAUUGUAUUUUUAAGUAUAAACGAGGUUUAAGAUAAUUUUGUCUCAUUUCCGGAGAUUAAUGUUUAUAAAAUGUAAUGUAAUUGAAAUAUAGAGUAUAAGACUGGAAUAUAAAGAUAUUUUUUAAGUAAUUUUUAUAAGCUUUCAAAAUAUUCUUUCUUUUCGUCUAUUUUAAAGACGAGUUUUAUCUAAUUAAAAAUGUUUUUACUUUAUGUUUAUUUUAUAUAAUCAUAUAUAAAAUAAUAUAUAAUAUGGAAUAUUAAUUCAUAUAUAUUCAAAUAUAUAUAUAUAUAUGUAUAUAUAUAUAUAUAUAUGUAUAUAUAUGUAUAUAUAGAAAGAGGGAGAAAAAAAGAGAGAAUAUAUAUAUAUAGAAUGAGGAAUCUUUUUGUAUAAUUAAAAAUGCAAUUUUUGAAGUAAAUCAUAAUUAUAAUUAAUGUGUUUAUAUAGGAUUGUAUAAAAUAAAAUAAUUGAAUAAAUUAUUUAAAUUUAA